rnacentral:rRNA from 1 species
GACGAACGCUGGCGGCGUGCUUAACACAUGCAAGUCGAACGGAAAGGCCCCUUUUGGGGUACUCGAGUGGCGAACGGGUGAGUAACACGUGAGUAACCUGCCCUUGCCUUCGGGAUAACUUCAUGAAACUGGGGCUAAUACCGGAUAGGAAUCCUUGCUGCAUGGUUGGGGUUGGAAAGCUUCGGCGGUUUUGGAUGGACUCGCGGCUUAUCAGCUUGUUGGUGGGGUAGUGGCUUACCAAGGCUUUGACGGGUAGCCGGCCUGCGAGGGCGACCGGCCACAUUGGGACUGAGAUACGGCCCAGACUCCUACGGGAGGCAGCAGGGGGGAAUAUUGCACAAUGGGCGGAAGCCUGAUGCAGCAAAGCCGCGUGCGGGAUGACGGCCUUCGGGUUGUAAACCGCUUUCAGCAGGGGCGAAGCUUGUGGUGACGGUACCUGCAGAAGAAGCACCGGCUAACUACGUG